GACGAACGCUGGCGGCGUGCUUAACACAUGCAAGUCGAACGCUGAAGCUCAGCUUUUGUUGGGUGGAUGAGUGGCGAACGGGUGAGUAACACGUGAGUAACCUGCCUCCUUCUUUGGGAUAACGCCCGGAAACGGGUGCUAAUACUGGAUAUUCACUGGUCUUCGCAUGGGGGCUGGUGGAAAGGGUUUUUCUGGCGGGGGAUGGGCCCGCAGCCUAUCAGCUUGUUGGUGGGGUGAUGGCCUACCAAGGCUUUGACGGGUAGCCAGCAUGAGAGGGUGACCGGUCACAUUGGGACUGAGAUACGGCCCAGAGUCCUACGGGAGGCAGAAGUGGGGAAUAUUGGACAAUGGGCGCAAGAGUGAUGCAGCGACGCCGCGUGAGGGAUGGAGGCCUUCGGGUUGUGAAGCUCUUUAGGUAAUGGUCAAGCCGAAAAAAUGGUUGUGGUGAGGGUAGUGGGUGAAGAAGCGCCGGCUAACUACGUG
rnacentral:rRNA from 1 species